rnacentral:rRNA from 1 species
UGUCAUAUCAUCCGGGUAAAGAGCUGCUACUACCUUCCAGCCUAAAUCACUCACCCAGUGCCUAGCUGGAUCAUGCUCUCGCCCAUUGGCCAAUAUUACGUACUGCUGCCUCGCGCAAGAUUCUGGAGCUCGUGUCUCACCCCCAGAGUGUGCGUAGCUCAUCCUCA